UACGUAGGGCGCAAGCGUUGUCCGGAAUUAUUGGGCGUAAAGAGCUCGUAGGCGGCUUGUCACGUCGAUUGUGAAAGCCCGAGGCUUAACCUCGGGUCUGCAGUCGAUACGGGCUAGCUAGAGUGUGGUAGGGGAGAUCGGAAUUCCUGGUGUAGCGGUGAAAUGCGCAGAUAUCAGGAGGAACACCGGUGGCGAAGGCGGAUCUCUGGGCCAUUACUGACGCUGAGGAGCGAAAGUGUGGGGAGCGAACAGG
rnacentral:rRNA from 1 species